AAUUAGGGGUUCAAAAUUUUUAAUUUCAAAUUGCAUUCUCCUCUCUCCGAAAAGAAAAGCCCUUCUCUCUUCCCUGUUCUCUCUCUUUCAUUCUCUGAAACCCUAAAUCGAUAGCCACUCCCCUCCCCACUCAACCCUGAAGUUUGAUUCACACAUAUCCGUUUUCAAGUUCAGUUCGCAUAUGGUAGGUUCUGUGUUUUGGAUUAGUUUUCGCCGCCGAUUAAUUGAGGGAACAAAGUGAUGUCUCGGUUUGAAAGAGUUGAUUAUGGUCAUUGGCUUCAACACCAACGAGGAAUAUUAAUGAAUUAACUAUGUGUGUUAGGUCCGAUGUUUCUAUUACUCUGUUCUUCACGUACAAUAUGGCCCUUGAACCACCUUUGGAGAAAUAUGAUAGACUUCAGACAUUUGUUAAGUGGUUUUGCUUUUGUUUGAGGUUUGUUAAGUGCUAAUUAUAAGUUUUGAUAUUGGAGGAAGCAAUUGAUGAUCUCUGAUAGGGUACAGUUUGCACAAUUCUUAAUCUUUGUACCAUUUUCUGCAAUUUUAGGAAGCAGGGUCGAGUCAUCUCACACUCACACACAUUUAAAUAGACUAUAUAGUUUUGUAAAAGAACAAGAAUAAGGAAAGCCAAAGAAGACGGAAUAUUGGGGACUCUAUUUGAUUGUCUUUUAUCACAACAGACCCAGACAAAAUAUGUCAUUGCAGGCAGUUGUUUUGCGUUGGAUGAUUGGCGGCUUCGGCAGCCUCCUUGAAACAUACUCAAUCACAUUUUUUUAUAAUCUUUAUGGGGGACGCAGACAACACUUUUCCACCUACCAAAAAACGAGCUGCUGGUAGAGAAUUGUCUCGGGAUAACCCGGGUCUUGACGAUGAAGAAGAGGUUCCGGGGGAAGAAACCGAAACGGAUACACAUUCAAAAGGGCGAGUGAUGAAGUGCUGGCAAAUAGAAGAAUAGUCAAAGUCAAACGUGGUCAAACAUCAUAAACCCCCUCUGCAUCUUCUAAUCCUUUCGCCGCCAUUCGUUUGGUACCCCCUGCAUCUUCUAAUCCUUUCGCAGACAACACAACCCGUUUUAAAAAAACGUGUCGGGUUCGGGUUGACCCGUAUUGAAAACAGGUCCGGGUUUGGGUUGACCCAUUUAACUAUUUAGAAAAAAAGGUUUUAUAUUUUUGUUUUUUCCGUUACAUGUUUAUAUUAUGCUUUGCAGGGGAGUUUGCAUGUUAUUCUAAGAAAUCAUAUAAAAAAAUUAUUUUGUAAA